CGCGCCGCUUUCUUCCCCCGCCGGCUGCCCGGGUCCGCUGGGAGGGCGGCGUCGGCACGGAGGAGAGGAUGACUGAGUCCUGAAACCUCGCCCGGUUGGGUUCAGCCCCUGGCCUCUCCUCUCCGCUAAGUUUCUCUUUGAAUCCGGCUGCGGGAAUGAUUCUCUCUGGGGUCCGCAGGCAGCUGGAUAUUCUGGGAGAGGAGCGGUAACACCGGUGAGGUCCUGCGCUGGGUAGUGGUGGUUCCCCGCCCACAGUGGGGAGGAGAGGUGGGGGACUUGUGAUUCUUCGCAGGGGAGAGAAGAAGAGCUCAUUCUUUUUCCCUUGAAAAAGAAGCCAAGUCCACAUGGCUCAGUGCCUUCACAUCGUGCAGCCAUCACCACUGUCCUGGUCCAUGCAGGCUGCUCAUGACUCAUUCACAGAACACCACAGUUCAGGAGGCUGGGAAUUCCCAGAUCAAGAUGCCAACACGGCUGGGUUCUGGGAGAGUGUUUGGGGCUGAAAAAUCUCUGGACCUACUCCCCAACACUCAGUGGCUGGCAUUCCAUGACCUAAGGGGCGGCCUGUCUGAAAGAAAGACAGUGCCCCAAGCCCUACUUUGAAAAAUGCUGCCAGUCGUAGCAGAAUUGGCCCUGCUGCUGUCUGUGACCAAGAGGAGACUUUCCUGAAACACCAGGGGCAAACUGGCCCCCAGAUAGAUCUUCAGCUCUAACCACCGGAGAAAGCAACCCUGGUAAGUUCCAUGGAAGGAGCACAGGACGAGGA